GCCCCCCUAGUAUAGUACCGUACAAGUGACUUCCACUCACUCAGCCUCAGUAACAACCUGAGGGGGGACA
rnacentral:tRNA from 1 species